CCUACGGGAGGCAGCAGUGGGGAAUAUUGCACAAUGGGGGCAACCCUGAUGCAGCGAAGCCGCGUGAGCGAUGAAGUUUCUAGGUAUGUAAAGCUCUAUCAGCCGGGGAGAAAAUGACGGUACCUGUCUCAGACGCACCGGCUAACUACAGGACAGCAGCCCGCGUAACACGUCGGGGGCAAGCGUUAUCCGGAUUUACUGGGGUUUAAGGGAGUGUAGUCGGCGGUGCAAGGCAGAUGUGAAAGCGCGGAGCCAAACCCCCUGACAGCAGUUGAAACUGUGCUGCUAGAGUGUAGGAGAGGCAGGCGGAAUGCCUAGUGUAGCGGUGAAAUGCUUAGAUAUCACGAAGAACUCCGAUUGCGAAGGCAGCAUACCAACCCGCCACUGACGCUGAUGCACGAAAGUGUGGGUAUCAAACAGGAUUAGAUACCCUAGUAGUC
rnacentral:rRNA from 1 species